rnacentral:rRNA from 1 species
GUGAACGCUGGCGGUAGGCCUAACACAUGCAAGUCGAACGGCAGCACAGUAAGAGCUUGCUCUUACGGGUGGCGAGUGGCGGACGGGUGAGGAAUACAUCGGAAUCUACUUUUUCGUGGGGGAUAACGUAGGGAAACUUACGCUAAUACCGCAUACGACCUACGGGUGAAAGCCGGGGAUCUUCGGACCUUGCGCGAUUGAAUGAGCCGAUGUCGGAUUAGCUAGUUGGCGGGGUAAAGGCCCACCAAGGCGACGAUCCGUAGCUGGUCUGAGAGGAUGAUCAGCCACACUGGAACUGAGACACGGUCCAGACUCCUACGGGAGGCAGCAGUGGGGAAUAUUGGACAAUGGGCGCAAGCCUGAUCCAGCCAUACCGCGUGGGUGAAGAAGGCCUUCGGGUUGUAAAGCCCUUUUGUUGGGAAAGAAAAGCAGCAGGUUAAUACCCCGCUGUUCUGACGGUACCCAAAGAAUAAGCACCGGCUAACUUCGUG